UACGUAGGGGGCAAGCGUUGUCCGGAUUUAUUGGGCGUAAAGAGCUCGUAGGCGGCUCGGUAAGUCAGGUGUGAAACCUCCAGGCUCAACCUGGAGACGCCACCUGAUACUGCUGCGGCUAGAGUCCGGUAGGGGAGCGUGGAAUUCCUGGUGUAGCGGUGAAAUGCGCAGAUAUCAGGAGGAACACCAGCGGCGAAGGCGGCGCUCUGGGCCGGAACUGACGCUGAGGAGCGAAAGCGUGGGUAGCAAACAGG
rnacentral:rRNA from 1 species